rnacentral:rRNA from 1 species
AAAAACAUCGCCUCUUGUUUAAAUAUAAGAGGUCCAGCCUGCCCAGUGAUAAUUUAUUCAACGGCCGCGUAAUUUAAAGCGCGCAAAGGUAGCGUAAUCACUUGUUCUUUAAAUGAGGACUCGAAUCAACGGCACCACGAGGGCUAUACUGUCUCCUUCCCCCAAUCAGUGAAACUAAUCCCCCUGUGAAAAAGCAGGGAUAUCCCUAUAAGACGAGAAGACCCCAUGGAGCUUUAAACAUAACAGCAUCUUUAAAAUUUCAUACACCCACCUUAUUAACAUGAAAGCAUUGUGCGUUAGUUUUAGGUUGGGGCGACCGCGGAGUAUAAGAAAACCUCCACAACGAAAGGGAAUAAGCCCUUACUUGAGAAAAACAUUUCUACAAAUUAUUAAUAUAACGUUUAAUGACCCGAUUAUCGAUUAACGAACCAAGUUACCCUGGGGAUAACAGCGCAAUCCAUUUUGAGAGCUCAUAUUGACAAAUGGGUUUACGACCUCGAUGUUGGAUCAGGGUAUCCCAGUGGUGCAGCCGCUACUAAAGGUUUGUUUGUUCAACAAUUAAAACCCU